GUGCUCACUUCAGCAGCACAUCUACUAAAAAAUUGGAAUGAUACAGAGAAGAUUAGCAUGGCCCUUGUGCAAGGAUGACACACAAAUUCGUGAAGCAUUCUGUAUUUUU
rnacentral:snRNA from 1 species